rnacentral:rRNA from 1 species
AACGACCGCUGGCGGCAGGCUUAACACAUGCAAGUCGAACGCCCCGCAAGGGGAGCGGCAGGCGGGUGAGUAACACGUGGGAAUCUACCCAUCUCUGCGGAAUAACACUUGGAAACGUGUGAUAAUACCGUAUACGUCGUUCGGGAGAAAGAUUUACCGGAGAUGGAUGAGCCCGCGUUGGAUUAACUAGUUGGUCGGGGAAAGGCCUACCAAGGCGACGAUCCAGAGAUGGUCUGAGAAGUGGGUCAGCCACACUGGGACUGAGACCACGGCGCAGCCUCCUACGGGAGGCAGCAGGGGGGAAUAUUGGACCAUGGGCGCAAGCCUGAUCCAGCCAUGCCGCGUGAGUGAUGAAGGCCCUAGGGUUGUAAAGCUCUUUCACCGGUGAAGAUAAUGACGGUAACCGGAGAAGAAGCCCCGGCUAACUUCGUGCCAGCAGCCGCGGUAACAC